AGAGAUUUUGAAAGGAAAUAUCCAGAACAUAAAGAUAAAUUGAUUUUAUCAUGAAACUUGCAUUUUGAGAAAUUUUACGAACUCUUAAAAAAAAAUACUUUCAACAGGAGAUCAACUCAAUGAAGUUCUUAUGCAGUCGCAAUCUUUGAAUUAUGACAGUAAAACAGUUCUUCAGAUCUGGAUUUUAGUAGCUAUCUUAGCUCCUAGAUCAACAAAAGUUAAUAUAAAAUCCGGAGAUCGCAGAAGAGUUUGGAAAGCUACAAUUUCUGAAAGCUGAGAUGGCUUCUUGUGCAUUGCAAGAUACCUGGAGAUAUUGAACAGAUAUGUAUUAAUAAACAAAACAAGAUGUCCCAGAUAAAUCUUACAAUGCAGCCCUUUAUCAUUGUGUUGGACCCGAAAUAACUCCGAUUGAAAAAGUAUGCUUGCAGAUUGACAAAACUAUGUAUGAAAUGCCAUCUGUAUUGAAGGCCGUUGAUGUAUAUUAUUUUCAAAAUAUUUAUCACCUUCAAUGCGUGUUAUCCAAAAGAGUGUGAAAAUUUUUGGUAUUUGAUUCAAUGGUGCGUCUAUGAAAUUCAUACAGCUUCGGAUCAAAAAAUUCCAUUCGUUUUGCAGUAUUCAAAAUAAAUUUAAACAAUUUAGUUAUUUUCUUACAUUUCGGGAUUUUUGAA